rnacentral:rRNA from 1 species
UACGUAGGGAGCAAGCGUUGUCCGGAAUCAUUGGGCGUAAAGCGCGCGUAGGCGGCCCCGUAAGUCCGACUGUGAAAGUCAAAGGCUCAACCCUUUGAAAGCCGGUGGAUACUGUAGGAGCUAGAGUCCGGAAGAGGCGAGUGGAAUUCCUGGUGUAGCGGUGGAAUGGCGCAGGAUAUCAAGGAGGAACACCAAUAGCGAAGGCAGCUCGCUGGGACGGUACUGACGCUAAGGCGCGAAAGCGUGGGGAGCG